GAUGAACGCUAGCGGCAGGCUUAACACAUGCAAGUCGAGGGGCAGCAUGAGACGGAGAUUCGUCGAAGUCUUGAUGGCGACCGGCGCAAGGGUGCGUAACGCGUGAGCAACUUGCCCGUUUCAGGGGGAUAACCGGUGGAAACGCCGACUAAUACCCCAUAGUAUCAUUUUAAGGCAUCUUUUAGUGAUUAAAGAAUUUCGGAAACGGAUAGGCUCGCGUGACAUUAGCUAGAUGGCGGGGUAACGGCCCACCAUGGCGACGAUGUCUAGGGGUUCUGAGAGGAAGGUCCCCCCACACUGGAACUGAGACACGGUCCAGACUCCUACGGGAGGCAGCAGUGAGGAAUAUUGGUCAAUGGUCUGACGACUGAACCAGCCAUGCCGCGUGAAGGUGACGGCCCUAUGGGUCUUAAACUUCUUUUGUAAGGGAGCAAUAAGUCUCACGUGUGGAUGAUGAGAGUACCUUACGAAUAAGCAUCGGCUAACUCCGUGCCAGCAGCCG
rnacentral:rRNA from 1 species